CAUAAAACUACUGGGAUAUGUGACCUUGUUUAUGUGAAACUAAUGCAUCAAUCUGGUUCAGAGAUGGUGGUUGCAAUUCUUAGUUAGCUCUCAAGGAGUUCAUCAGAGGUUUUUAUGACAUUUUACUCUUCCUGUGCUUCAUCCUUAAAAAUGGUUGUUCACAAAUGUAUGUACUGCCAAAAAGCAAUGACAUGAAUAAGGUGUGAUUGUGAACCUUUUCCUAACGCUCACACUGACCCUCCUCUGACAGAGCUCAUGCUGUUCCUUUGGUCCCAUUGCUGUCACCAGAGGGAAGAGCUCAGCACUGCCCUUCUGCUUCCCUCACGAGGUCUCCCCUCAGUAUCCUCUUCUCUUGACUGAACAAACCAAGCAACCUCAGCAGCUCUUCAUACCACUUGCCCUCCAGACCCUUCAUCAUGUUGCUGGUUGAUGCCAUUUAUCUGACCUCUGCUAGGUGUACUACCAACACAAGGCUCACUUGAGAAACGUUCAGGAAAAGAGGAAGAGGAGGAAGUGGUGUUGAGCUUGUCUUAACUCUGGAUCAAGCUAUGAUGGCAAGGGUUUAACCAAGCUUGAAAAUGGCAGCUUGACCUCUGGAAUCCCCUUCAGCAGGCAGUGGGUUGACACAGGAGAAAGCAAGGACAUGAAGCCAUCAGGAUCACCACUACCACCACAGAAAGUUCCGAGAAGAAGAUGCAGACAAGCCAUUUGCUACUGACUCCACCAGUCUUCUCAUUCAGCAGAAUGGUCUGAUGAGAAAGGGAGUGCACAAGCUCCACCUAAAAGACUCAGCAUGUGGCUGCAGCCUCACCCAGCCAUAUUGUUGACCACAGACAUUUUCUUCUUGGACCCCCUUUGAAGACAGUGGCAUCAACCCUUGAGUGUGUCAUGAUGCUACUUGGCAGAGUCCAUAUCUGCAGCCACGUGUCAUGUCAUUCUAUUUAGAAAUGCCAGGAUCUAUCCCCAUCCUGCAUCUGUGGCCUCCAGAUUGUCAGUUCAUCCCAUCAAAAAUAUGCAUGUGGAAAUCAAAGUUAAGACCUUUAGGCACAGCCAAAGGUUCUAACCUUGUCUGUUGAAGAGGCAAAGAAAUACAGUUUUCUCAGUGGUGUUGAAGAAAUGUUACCAGAAAGGGAAGAAAGGGAAUUUGGUUGUUAGAAUAUCUUUCUCACUUUCAGUAUAUGGGGGAUUUUUAAAUCUUACUCCCCAUCUUAUGUUAUUAUGUCUUAUUCUCCGCCUUAUCUAUUUUAAAAAACAUAUAUUCAACAGUUAACAGGAAAGAAAUGCACACAAAAAAAAAAA